CCUACGGGGGGCAGCAGUGAGGAAUAUUGGUCAAUGGACGAGAGUCUGAACCAGCCAAGUAGCGUGAAGGAUGACUGCCCUAUGGGUUGUAAACUUCUUUUAUAUGGGAAUAAAAUGUUCCACGUGUGGGAUUUUGUAUGUACCGUAUGAAUAAGGAUCGGCUAACUCCGUGCCAGCAGCCGCGGUAAUACGGAGGAUCCGAGCGUUAUCCGGAUUUAUUGGGUUUAAAGGGAGCGUAGGUGGAUUGUUAAGUCAGUUGUGAAAGUUUGCGGCUCAACCGUAAAAUUGCAGUUGAUACUGGCAGUCUUGAGUACAGUAGAGGUGGGCGGAAUUCGUGGUGUAGCGGUGAAAUGCUUAGAUAUCACGAAGAACUCCGAUUGCGAAGGCAGUUCACUGGACUGCAACUGACACUGAGGCUCGAAAGUGUGGGUAUCAAACAGGAUUAGAUACCCUUGUAGUC
rnacentral:rRNA from 1 species